AUUGAACGCUGGCGGCAGGCCUAACACAUGCAAGUCGAGCGAGCGGCGGACGGGUGAGUAAUGUCUGGGAAACUGCCUGAUGGAGGGGGAUAACUACUGGAAACGGUAGCUAAUACCGCAUACCAUCAGAUGUGCCCAGAUGGGAUUAGCUAGUAGGUGGGGUAACGGCUCACCUAGGCGACGAGCCCUAGCUGGGCUGAGAGGAUGACCCGCCCGACUGGAAAUGAUGCACGGUCCAGACUCCGACGGGAGGCAGCAGUGGGGAAUAUUGCACAAUGGGCGCAAGCCUGAUGCAGCCAUGCCGCGUGUGUGAAGAAGGCCUUCGGGUUGUAAAGCACUUUCAGCGGGGAGGCGUUACCCGCAGAAGAAGCACCGGCUAACUCCGUGCCAGCAGCCGCGGUAAUAC
rnacentral:rRNA from 1 species